UUUUCUUGUUUCUCUCCCAAACGGCGAUAGCUUCCUGGUCACCAUCUUCUCCGAUUAAGGUGUGUUUUCCGGCCAUUAAAACACCAAAAUCGAGAUCUCCUCGUGUCCUCUGUCUCCUCUGUCUCGCAAAUCUCAUCUUCGGCGAUAUAGACAAGGUGAGGUUAACCAGGACAAAUUAAAUCGGAUAACCAUAAACAAACCUGCAUUUACUUUUAGUAAAAGGUUGAAGAAGACAUAGACUCUGAAUACGACUAUGGUAUAAACAGCCCAUUAGACUAUAGUUCCGAAGAGGAGGAGGCUGAGACCUGUUACUAUCCUCCGCAACCAUCAACUGAGAUUGGAUUCACAAGUCUGUGGAGCCGUGAAGCUGAACCACUUCCUGAUUAUGAGACACAACUGAUCCAGCUCAAGGACCAACUGAUCCAGCUCAAGGACCAACAAAACCAUUCAGAUCAGAAGUUGGUGAACCUGGAGAGGCUUGUUACUGAGGCACGAGAGAAGAAACCAUUGUUUCAAAUGGCCCCUGAAAUUGUAGUUGUUGUUUGCUUCGGUAUGAGUGUUUUGCUAG